GUUAAAGUGAUGUUUGAUCUUUAGGAGACAUCGACAGAGAUGGAGCUUCUUCCUCUUCUGUGUCUCUGCCUCCUGACUCGCUCUGGAAUCACGUCUGCUCAACUAAACGGGUCAUUAUUGAUU